rnacentral:rRNA from 1 species
AGAGUUUGAUUAUGGCUCAGGAUGAACGCUAGCUACAGGCUUAACACAUGCAAGUCGAGGGGCAGCAUAACGAAAGCUUGCUUUGUUGAUGGCGACCGGCGCACGGGUGAGUAACGCGUAUCCAACCUUCCCUAUACUAGAGAAUAGCCCGGCGAAAGUCGGAUUAAUGCUCUAUGUUCUUCUUUGAUGGCAUCUGACGAGAAGCAAAGGUUUACCGGUAUAGGAUGGGGAUGCGUCUGAUUAGGUUGUUGGCGGGGUAACGGCCACCAAGCCUGCGAUCAGUAGGGGUUCUGAGAGGAAGGUCCCCCACAUUGGUACUGAGACACGGACCAAACUCCUACGGGAGGCAGCAGUGAGGAAUAUUGGUCAAUGGGCGAGAGCCUGAACCAGCCAAGUAGCGUGCAGGAUGACUGCCCUAUGGGUUGUAAACUGCUUUUAUAGGGGAAUAAAGUGAGGUAUGCAUACCUUUUUGUAUGUACCCUAUGAAUAAGGACCGGCUAAUUCCGUGCCAGCCGCCGC